rnacentral:rRNA from 1 species
AUUGAACGCUGGCGGCAGGCCUAACACAUGCAAGUCGAACGAGUGGCGGACGGGUGAGUAAUGUCUGGGAAACUGCCUGAUGGAGGGGGAUAACUACUGGAAACGGUAGCUAAUACCGCAUACCAUCAGAUGUGCCCAGAUGGGAUUAGCUUGUUGGUGGGGUAACGGCUCACCAAGGCGACGAUCCCUAGCUGGUCUGAGAGGAUGACCAGCCAAACUGGAACUGGGACACGGUCCGUAUUCCAACGGGAGGCAGCAGUGGGGAAUAUUGCACAAGGGGGGCAAGCCUGAUGCGGCCAUGCGGGGUGGAUGAGGCAGGCCUUCGGGUUGUAAAGUACUUUCAGCGGGGAGGCGUUACCGGCAGAAGAAGCACCGGCUAACUCCGUGCCAGCAGCCGCGGUAAUAC